rnacentral:rRNA from 1 species
CUUAUACUGUGAAACUGCGAAUGGCUCAUUAAAUCAGUUAUCGUUUAUUUGAUAGUACCUUACUACAUGGAUACCUGUGGUAAUUCUAGAGCUAAUACAUGCUAAAAACCUCGACUUCGGAAGGGGUGUAUUUAUUAGAUAAAAAACCAAUGCCCUUCGGGGCUCCUUGGUGAUUCAUAAUAACUUAACGAAUCGCAUGGCCUUGCGCCGGCGAUGGUUCAUUCAAAUUUCUGCCCUAUCAACUUUCGAUGGUAGGAUAGUGGCCUACCAUGGUGGCAACGGGUAACGGGGAAUUAGGGUUCGAUUCCGGAGAGGGAGCCUGAGAAACGGCUACCACAUCCAAGGAAGGCAGCAGGCGCGCAAAUUACCCAAUCCCGACACGGGGAGGUAGUGACAAUAAAUACUGAUACGGGGCUCUUUUGGGUCUCGUAAUUGGAAUGAGUACAAUCUAAAUCCCUUAACGAGGUACAAUUGGAGGGCAAGUCUGGUGCCAGCAGCCGCGGUAAUUCCAGCUCCAAUAGCGUAUAUUAAAGUUGUUGCAGUUAAAAAGCUCGUAGUUGAACCUUGGGUCUGGCUGGCCGGUCCGCCUCACCGCGAGUACUGGUCCGGCUGGACCUUUCCUUCUGGGGAACCUCAUGGCCUUCACUGGCUGUGGGGGGAACCAGGACUUUUACUGUGAAAACAUUAGAGUGUUCAAAGCAGGCCUUUGCUCGAAUACAUUAGCAUGGAAUAAUAGAAUAGGACGUGCGGUUCUAUUUUGUUGGUUUCUAGGACCGCCGUAAUGAUUAAUAGGGAUAGUCGGGGGCGUCAGUAUUCAGCUGUCAGAGGUGAAAUUCUUGGAUUUGCUGAAGACUAACUACUGCGAAAGCAUUCGCCAAGGAUGUUUUCAUUAAUCAGGGAACGAAAGUUAGGGGAUCGAAGACGAUCAGAUACCGUCGUAGUCUUAACCAUAAACUAUGCCGACUAGGGAUCGGGCGGUGUUUCUAUGAUGACCCGCUCGGCACCUUACGAGAAAUCAAAGUUUUUGGGUUCUGGG